GGGUUGGGACACUUGGGUCGUGUGUUUUGGGAUUAUCACCAUCCACAGUCAGUCUGGGGCUGGGGUUGGGUGGCUGGGACACCUGGGUCGUGUAUUUUGGGGGUGCCUGAGUUCCUUGUUUUGGGGUGAUCACCAUCUGUGGUCUGUCUGGGGGGCUGGAACACCUGGGUCAUGUGUUUUGGGGGUGCCUGAGUCCCUUGUUUUGGGGUGAACUUGGGGUUCUGUAACAAUGGAACUCCUAUUUUGGCUUGCCAGUUUGUUUGGGGUUUCAGGAUACCCGAGUCCUGCAUUCUGGGGCACCGAGACACCUGGCUCCCAGUUUUGGGACACUNNNNNNNNNNNNNNNNNNNNNNNNNNNNNNNNNNNNNNNNNNNNNNNNNNNNCCCCUCCCUGGGUUAAUUUUGGGAUCCCUCCCCCUCCAAUUUUGGGGUAUCACCUUGCUCUCCCCACCUGUCCCACAGAACAGCGUGCUCUCCACCGGCACCACGCGCAGCCGCAACUCCCCGCUGCUCGACCGCGCCAGCCUGGGUCCCAACUCACUGCAAAACGGCAAGGACAGCUUACCCACCCCGGGCUGCAGACCCUCUCCCGCCGCUCCCCCAGCCCCAGCUGCACCCCCAAGGUCCCGGCAGCACCCGAAAAGCACCGCGGCCCCCAGCGACGCCAACUGCGAGGGGUCCCGACCCAGCGCGGCUCCAACGCGGGUUCCCGUGGCUUCGCCCUCCGCACACAACAUCAGCCAGGGGUUGUGCGAGCGGCCCAGUUUCCCACGCGGCGUUUCCAGCCGCAGCACCUUCCACGCCGGGCAGCUGAGGCAGGCCCGGGACCAGGCCCCCCUGCCCUACGCCGUGCCCCCCGCCUCCCCCUCGGGUGCCAGCCAGGGCCGCCGCGGGCCAUCAGCCAGCCUCUUCAGCAAGUUCACCUCCAAGUUCGUGCGCAGGUGAGCGCCUGGCUCCUCCUCUUCCUUCCAUCUCUUCCUUCUGUGUUCCCCCCCCCGUCGGCUCCGUUCCGGGGUCCAUCUGUGGCUCCUCCGUGUUCCCUACGUCCCCUCUGUGUUCUCCCUCUGUCCCCACCCCGGGGUUCCCCACAUCCCCUCUGUUCCCCUUCAUCCUCACUCCAAGGCUGCCUGUGGUGCCUCUGUGCUCCUCUUGUCUUCAUCCCCCAUUUGUGCCACCGCUGUCCCCACCCAGGGUCCCCCUUUGUCCCCUCUGUGUCCCCCACAUCCCCUCUGUGCCCCUUCAUCCCCACUCCAAGGCUGCCUGUGGUGCCUCUGUGCUCCUCUGGUCAUCAUCCCCCCAUUUAUGCCACCGCUGUCCCCACCCCAGGGUCCCCCUUUGUCCUUUCCAUGUCCCCUUUGUCCCCAUUCUACUCCUGUGUCCCCCUGUUGCUCCUCCUUCUCCCUACUGUUCUGUGUUCCCUCCCCAUGUCUCCCCCCUUGUUUCCUUCUCUUCUGUGUUCCCUUGGGACUCUCCACGUACCCCUGUGUCCUCUCCUCUUGUCCCGUGUCCCCUUCCUUCAUCCUAUGUCCCUCACUGUCCUCACAGNNNNNCCCCCCUUCAGCUCGUGUUCCCUCUGUGUCCCCCAUUGUCCCCUCCCUGUGCUGAUCCCCCAUUAUCCCCUCCCUGUGCUGAUCCCACCUCCUUCUGGGAGACUCGGGGGCAGUCUGGGGGGGGGGGAGAGGUGGGGUGACCCCAUUGCGGGGAGGGGGUGGCUCCCCCAGCCCCCCAGCGCCGCCCCCCAACGCCACCUUCUUUCUGUUUGUCUUUGUAGAAAUCUGUCUUUCAGGUUUGCCAGAAGGUAGGCGCCUCCUCCCCACCCCCUCCCAGCCCCCCCUCAGCCCUGCAUGUCCCCGUGUCCCCCUGUCCCUGUCCUGUCUGUC
ensembl:lncRNA